AAGACUAUAGACCUGCGGAGUACCUGCGGAGGGAUCAUUAUUGAUUCUAAUGGAUGUGCUGACAAGGUUGUCAAGGUCUUGUAUUGUGCACUCCUAAAAAUCUUCAUCCCUCACCUGUGCACCUCUUUGUAGACAAAGGAGACAGUGAAUUUUGAUAACGGAGGAAAGAUGAACUGUACACCGGGAAUAGACCUUUUAUAGUUUGUUACCGUCAGUGCAGGAAUUCAAGUAUUCAGUAUU
rnacentral:misc_RNA from 1 species